GACGAACGCUGGCGGCGUGCUUAACACAUGCAAGUCGAACGAAGUGUCGAAAGGGAGCGUAAUAGGUUGGGAACCUGCCCUCCUUUUUGGGAUAAGCCUUGGAAACGGGGUGUAAUACCGAACAGAGGGGGAGGGGCUCGCGGCGUGUCAGCUUGUUGGUGGGGUGUUGGCGUACAAAGGCGGUGACGGGUGGCCGGCCUGAGAGGUUGGCCGGCAACAUAGAGAAUGGUAUACUGCCGAGUCUCCUACGGGAGGCGGCAGUGGGGUAUAUUGCACAAUGGGCGCAAGACUGAUGCAGCGACGCCGCGUGGGGGAUGAAGGCUUUCGUGUUGUAAACCUCUUUCGCUAUCGAACGGGUAGGUGGAGAAGAAGCGCCGGCUAACUACGUGCCAGCAGCCGCGGUAAUUC
rnacentral:rRNA from 1 species